AUUGACUGUCAGGGAGACAGUGACACGUUGGACAAGGUUGGAAUAUGGUGUGCGUUUGAAGAGUUCGAAGAUUUCUUUUCUCCUAAGAAACCUGUUUGAUUUUUGUGUUUUUUCGUGCGAACAGAAAUGGACCGAACAAGAAGCUGCUGCUACGAAAUGGACUCGGGCAUUGAAGCGCGGCUUGUGAAAGCAAGUCUGAGUCUAUAGUUAAUACAUAUUGAUGGUUCCUCAACUGAUGAGAUUUAAACCUUUCGACGCCACUAACAUCACUACAUUAUCAUGGCUCUGAAGUGUACCUCGUAGACAGCUUGCACUCUGUACAAUAAAAUUCUGUACAUUCCAGUAGGACUUCGAAAACAGCGCCAAAACGCCAGGAAUUUCUUUUCCGCUGUCAUGAAAUAUAAAGAAAAACACCGUAAUGUAUGGAAAUAAAUAUUGUCUCUUUCCUCCCAAA